rnacentral:rRNA from 1 species
UACGAAGGGGGCUAGCGUUGCUCGGAAUCACUGGGCGUAAAGCGCACGUAGGCGGCUUACUAAGUCAGGGGUGAAAUCCUGGAGCUCAACUCCAGAACUGCCUUUGAUACUGGUGAGCUUGAGUCCGGAAGAGGUGAGUGGAACUGCGAGUGUAGAGGUGAAAUUCGUAGAUAUGGGGAGGAACACCGGUGGCGAAGGCGGCCCCCUGGACGGUAACCGACGCUGAGACGCGAAAGCGUGGGGAGCAAACAGG